AAAUUAAAAGUUUAUAAAAAUGACAAAAAAAGAGUAUGUGUUCGGUGUUGUGGGUCAAAAGGAAAAUGUAAAUGACAAAAAAAGAGUAUGUGUUAGGUGUUGUGGGUCAAAAGGAAAAUGUCCAUGAUAUGCAUAUUGUGCAUAUAAGGCAACUGAAAAUACAUGGCAGCUAAGGAAGAUUAUAGACAACCACACAUGCAGUAGGGACUUUAACAUCCGUUUAGUGACUUCAAAAUGGUUGAGCGAGAGGUUAGAGAAGACCAUAAAAGAGAAUCCCAAUAUUAAUUUGUAUAACCUCCAAAACAAAGUUUCUAAGAAGUGGAACAUUGAUGUUUCUCGGUCUACAACAUGUAGGGCAAAAGCAAUGGCUUUUAAACAAAUUGAAGGUGAUUUUAAAGAACAAUAUAGAAGACUUUAUGACUAUUCAAACGAGUUGCUUCGGUCUAAUCCUGGUUCAACUGUGAAAGUUAUGGUUGAACCUAAUGAGAACAAUAGAAUAUUCAAGAGAAUGUAUGUGUGUUUCAAGGCCUAUAUGGACAACUUCGUGUCUUGUAGACCUAUUAUAGGUUUAGAUGGUUGUUUCUUAAAAGGAAAAUAUGGAGGUGAGUUGUUAACUACGGUUGCAAGAGAUGGGAAUGAGCAAACGUGUCCUUUGGCCUAUGCUGUUGUUGAGAUGGAGAAUAAGGACAAUUGGAUUUGGUUUUUAGAAUUGCUCAUUGAUGAUCUUGGUGGUGAGGAGCUUUCUUCAACAAUCACAUAUAUUUCAGAUCAACAAAAAGGACUAGUGCCAACAUUACAAGAAUUUUCUACCUGGUGUGGAACACAGAUUUUGAGUGUGCCACAUUUAUGCAAAUUUUAGGAACAAAUUUCCUGGCCAUAUUCUAAAACAUCUAUUAUGGAAAGCAGCAUCAUCAACACACCCUCCAGAAUGAGAGGUAGUGAUGAGAGAAAUUAAAGAUGUGAAUCCAGAUGCAAUUCCACCAAGACCAAAAAAGAAGAGAAGGCUAGAGGCUUGGGAACUCAAGAAGGAUGACACACAACUAAAGCAAAAUGGAACUCGUAAGAGAUGUUCCAUAUGUAGGCAGCUUGAUCAUAAAAAAAAUACUUGCCCACAACGUCCUUCAACAAGUCAGCAACCUGAAAGCCAGCCAACAACAGGACCAAGUCAGCAACCUCAAAGCCAACCAACAACAACACCAAGUCAGCAACCUCAAAGCCAACCAACAAACAACAACACUUUAGAAGGUUUUUGAAAAUUGACAUGUAUUUUGAACAUUGACAUCACAGUAUGUUACAACCCAGUAUUGGCUGCUUUGUAAUCUAAUUCUGUAAUCA